rnacentral:rRNA from 1 species
GACGAGCGCAACCCUUUUCCUAUUUGCCAGCGGGUUAAGCCGGGAACUUUAAGGAUACUGCCAGUGACAAACUGGAGGAAGGCGGGGACGACGUCAAGUCAUCAUGGCCCUUACGACCAGGGCUACACACGUGCUACAAUGGUCGGUACAAAGGGUUGCUACCUAGCGAUAGGAUGCUAAUCUCAAAAAGCCGAUCGUAGUCCGGAUUGGAGUCUGCAACUCGACUCCAUGAAGUCGGAAUCGCUAGUAAUCGCGGAUCAGAAUGCCGCGGUGAAUACGUUCCCGGGCCUU